CCUACGGGGGCAGCAGUAGGGAAUUUUGCGCCACGGGGGAAACCCUGACGCAGCAACACCGCGUGAAUGGUAAGACCUUCGGGGUGUAAAGUUCUGUCAAUAGAGACGAAUUUUGACUGUACCUAUAAAGGAAGCACCGGCUAACCCCGUGCCAGCAGCCGCGGUAAUACGGGGGGUGCAAGCGUUAUCCGGAAUCAUUGGGCGUAAAGCGUUCGGAGGCGGGAAGUCAAGUCUGAAGUUAAAGCCCCGGGCCCAACCCUGGUUCGGCUUUGGAAACUGGCAAACUAGACUGUAGGAGGGGUAAAGGGAAUUCCUGGUGUAGCGGUGAAAUGCGUAGAUAUCAGGAGGAACAUCAGUGGCGAAAGCGCUUUACUGGACCAUUAUUGACGCUGAGGAACGAAAGCCAGGGGAGCAAAUGGGAUUAGAUACCCCAGUAGUC
rnacentral:rRNA from 1 species